rnacentral:lncRNA from 1 species
CUUUAACAUUACACAAUGGAAGUAUUUAUAGUGAUACACAUGAAAUGGGAGCCCUUGGAUGAAGUGGCACGUGGCCUCAUCUCUUUAGUUCAAACGUCUUUUCUUAGGUAUGGGGCUUGACUUGCUAGCUUACGGCGCAUUUAUUGCUUGCGCAGGUCCUCCAUACUAGUGACAAGACUUGACCUUUAUACUUGUGACAAACGUUCCAUCAGUCAUUCGAAUAAGAUCUCUGAGUAGGUGAUCUUUUAGGAGGAGUGACUGUGAAGGGAGCUCCUUGUGGUUAAGAGACUCGUGUAUCAGCUUCGGGGCUUCGACCAUUUGACAAAUACUUCCACCUGAGGACCUCGGCUAAAUUCAACAGGUUCCAUGCUUCGGGUCAUGGGACUCGGUAGUUGGAUUUCGGCAGAGUACGUCGGAUCGUAGAGCCUCGGCGGAUGGACCUCGGCUUGAAGCACUUCAAAUAUAACCCACCUCGACAAUGUGUGCCACCUCGACAGGAAUGCUGCGUGGAUCAAGAUGAGUGGGUCAUUGGCCCAAGUGAGUAGGACAAUACGCAACAUAAACAUUAACACCAAUGAAAGUUGAAACUCACAGUUAACAACCGAAAAAUAAGAAAUAUGGCAUGAAAAUAUUUCACAAGUACAAACCUCAAAUCUCACAGGUUUGGAGAGUUUCGGGUCAAGAGGAUCGGAGAGACUCUUCAAGGACACCGUCUAUUGUGUUAGCACUUCCACCAUAGCCUCAAUUAACAGACGUGUCAGCGCUUCAUGGCAGUGGCCUUGAUGAUGGUGAUGCCAUGACACCGUCCAUUCAAACUUCGAUUGUCGUUCUUCUCUUUGUGGGUCUUCU